GGGGAAUAUUGCACAAUGGGGGAAACCCUGAUGCAGCAACGCCGCGUGAAGGAUGAAGGAUUUCGGAUUGUAGACUUCAUUAGUCAGGGACGAAUAAAUGACGGUACCUGAAGAAUAAGCCACGGCUAACUACGUGCCAGCAGCCGCGGUAAUACGUAGGUGGCGAGCGUUGUCCGGAAUUACUGGGCGUAAAGGGUGUGCAGGCGGAUAUUUAAGUGAGAUGUGAAAGACCCGGGCUUAACUCGGGCAGUGCAUUUCAAACUGAAAGACUUAAGUAUUGGAGAGGAGAACGGAAUUCCUAGUGUAGCGGUGAAAUGCGUAGAGAUUAGGAAGAACACCAGUGGCGAAGGCGGUUCUCUGGACUGUAACUGACGCUGAGGCACGAAAGCGUGGGUAGCAAACA
rnacentral:rRNA from 2 species